rnacentral:tmRNA from 1 species
GGGGGUGUUCCGGUUUCGACUGGGGCGUGGACUCGAGAGUGGCAUGCAGAGGUGGCUGGGAGGCCUCUUAAAACACCUAGCAAACGUUACGUGCCAAAACAACGAAAGUUGUCUCAUUUGAGAAGCUGAACACGGUUCAGUUCGCUCCUCAGAUGUUGGCAUUGGCAGCUUAGUCUGCCACGUCUAUCAAGCUAAUGCCUGCGAAGCUUGAAUAGACGACCACUAGCGGGCUGGUCAGCGAUGGAGAUGGCGCAUGGCUGAUGAGGAGACCACACGCCAACUGGUCCUUUGGGAAUUCUGACUGCUGAAGUCUCAAAGGAUGACGAUAAAAAACAGCCUAAGCAUGUAGAGGCUCUCGUCAAAAUACUCUAGGACGCGGGUUCGAUUCCCGCCACCUCCAUUU